ACAGCAGUAGUCUACCCCAGAUUUCUGAUUUCGACUCAGAAGACCUUAUUAAUAAGCCGCUGUA
rnacentral:tRNA from 1 species